rnacentral:rRNA from 1 species
GACGAACGCUGGCGGCGUGCUUAACACAUGCAAGUCGAACGGUGAAGGGACCAGCUUGCUGGUUCUGGAUGAGUGGCGAACGGGUGAGUAACACGUGAGUAACCUGCCCCCUUCUUCUGGAUAACCGCAUGAAAGUGUGGCUAAUACGGGAUAUUCUGGGUCUGUCGCAUGGCGGGCCCGGGAAAGAUAUUGCUUCGGUGGGGGAUGGGCUCGCGGCCUAUCAGCUUGUUGGUGGGGUGAUGGCCUACCAAGGCGGUGACGGGUAGCCGGCCUGAGAGGGUGGACGGUCACACUGGGACUGAGACACGGCCCAGACUCCUACGGGAGGCAGCAGUGGGGAAGAUUGCACAAUGGGCGCAAGCCUGAUGCAGCGACGCCGCGUGAGGGAUGGAGGCCUUCGGGUUGUAAACCUCUUUCGCCAGUGAAGCAGGCCUGCUCCUUGUGGGUGGGUUGACGGUAGCUGGAGAAGAAGCGCCGGCUAACUACGUG